ensembl:lncRNA
UAUGGUCAUAUCAGUCAGUGCCUGAACUUAUGCUCUAAUACGCAGGCCUUUGCCGUCUCUCUAUGAGCUUCUCGCUCACAACCAAUCACGUUCUUCUGGAGGUCACUAGUUCUUAAUUGAUUUCAGCUGCGUCUCCCCCGCCUCUCCUCAUAAAGCGCCCCCACCGUGACGGUUGUUAAUCGUUUUUUUUUUGCGUUGGAUUGCGUGGGCUGAACAAUCCGGACAUCGUGGCCACCGACGUGGACCCCCCGCCACCGGGACCCACGCAGUGAGUAACGCGGGGUACUUCCUUCAUGAGCGCUGCACAUGUUACACUCUCCCCAUCUCCUCCUGUCCUCUGUUCUCGCCCCUCUAUUGUACAUGUUUUACCGCUGGAGGUUAAUGUGGUUUUGCUGAUGGAAGUGGUAGUUUGUGUUGAGUGGUUUGGUUUAUCUAUGGGAUCGACUGACUAACUAACGCUGCGGACCGCUACAGCACCGACCACCACACUGGGAAGUGUCCUCUGCUCACUGUGGAAGCAGCAUGGAAGAACUGCAGCAACUCUGUUGGAAACGAGGACCUCCACGCUGUUGAACACAAACUGUUCUAGGCCUACUACAAACCGAGGCGGUCCCACUCGGUUAAAGAUCUCGUGGUCAAUGCGGCAGACCGCUGGACCUGGACGUCACCUUCUGCAGAUACUUCACUGCCCUCAGGAAUCCACGGAUAACUUGAAAAAAGUCCGACUCCACAUGUCCGAAGAAUCCAGGAUGGAAACUUGUGGAAGGAAGAAAGGGGUCUGUUUUUGCUCAACCCAUAACCCCACUGAGCCCUUCUGUGGAAACCUGCCUGACUGACCCUACUGACUGGGGGCCUGUUGUGUGUUUGGUUGGUCUGGUAGAAGGUUUGCUGCUUGUGAUCUGCAAGGUGGUCCUUGGUUAGAUGCGGUGUCUGACUUGCACACCACUCUCCCAAUUCUAUUCUUCUCUUUACUACUUUCAAUACACUUGCUGCUGCUGCUGUUGACCGCUGGUGGUGCAAUGUGGUUUUUAUUCGCGUAUGUUCUGUGGACUUUGCAUUUGUAUUUUAAUGAACAUGUUUACUGCCUGUUAGACCUCUGAUUGGCAUACCUAAACUCCUUCACUGGCAAAAUGUAGAUGCAAAUUAAAUGCCAAAAUUAACAUUUCAAUAUUCGGUUUGCGUAUUUCACCAAUAGCUUCGGAACUAAAUGGACCUCGUAUAUAAUUUGCUCUUCAAAGAUGCGGUCAGGCGCCCCUCCGUUACGUUUUCUGCCCGGUACGAAAUAGACCGACCAAUAGCAUAGCAUCGACCCAUUUUAGAUCGCGCCCUUUAGACACGCCCCUUGGAAAUUGAACAACGCAGAGGAUCCAGAAGGAUUUCACAACGAGUCCAUUGGAAGAUAUCGAGGAACAUGAACAUCACCAAUGAAGGAGAGUAACGUUUCCACUUGCUAUAGGAAUUUAGUGAAGCACUAAAUAGUUAAUAAUAAUAAUGAUAAAAUGUGGUCACCAUUUAUUGACUUUUUGGGUAAGACUUGCUUAACCAUUCAUUUACUUUUCUUGUGUAGUUUCCCACUAUUCAUUAAAUGUUUUAUAGAAGUAAAAAUAGUAAUCAAUAGAACAUACACAUUUGUACAACAAUUAAUCAUUAUACAGGAUUUGAACAUUUUCUAUUCGAGCUCAUGCUUCAUAAUAUUUCCAAGGAUUGCAGAGUACCAAAUGAUUUAUGAACAGUUUUUUGUUCAGGAGCGGAUUGUACUCCCAGAGGCUUCAACAGAGCGGGUCUGGAGCUGGGAGCUGCAGGUGGAUGGUGGCCAGGAGCCGUUCAGUCCUACAGACACAGACGGUAGAGGUGAUGGAGGCGGUCGUCUGGAGGGGCUCGUCUGGAGGUCCGUGGCAGUCGUCUGGAGGUGCUCGUCUGGAGGUCCGUGGCGGUCGUCUGGAGGCGCCUGCUGCAGGUGGAGGGAAGGCCGGGAGCCGUGCAGCCCAACGGAUGCAGAACGAAGGACUGAGGCGGAGGUCCUGGAGGCAGAGGCCAGCCUGGAGGUCCUGGAGGCGUCCAACCUGGAAGGGGCGGCAUGGAGGGCCAGGUGGCGGCUCCUCAUCCAAAGGGCCUGGAGGCGGCCAACCUGGAAGGCCUGGAGACGGCCGAGAUCCUGGAGGCAACGGCGGGCCUGGAGGUGGAGGCCGUCCUGGAGUCGGUGGGCCUGGAGGCGGUGGUUGGGACCAACCUGGAGGGCCUGGAGGCGGUGGUUGGGACCAACCUGGAGGUCCCGGCGGUGGCGUCCACCUGGCGGCGGUCAGCCUGGAGGGCCCAGCGGCGGCGUCCUGGAGGGCCCGGAGGAGGCGGCUCCUCAUCCAAAGAAAUGAGGCGACGUUGCGGAGGUCCAGGCGGUUGGCCCGGUGGAGGUCCUGGAGGAGACGGUCCCGGCGGUGGAGGACGGCUGGGGGAUCCGGCGGUGGAGGUCCGAAGGCGGCUCGUGAUUAGACCAACCAGCUCCUCAUCCAUGGAAGGAUUGAAGGAGUCACUUGGGAUGAAGAUCACUGCUCGGGGGCUGACGACCACUCAUCUUUCCGGAGAAGCGUCCUCAUGGUGCAGGCGGUCAAACCUCCACCUCUUUGAAGAGACCAAGCAGCUUGAUGACUGACUGGUUCUUUAUACUCAAGACCUCGUCCCGGAGCAGAGGACGGACCUAAGGCCCGCAGCGCAGCCGACUAGAGACUCCAUGUGGAACCUGUAAGAUACUGGAUUGACCAUCUUGAAGACAUUUUCAUUUAUUCAACAAGGUUCAAUUAAGUUGACCUCUCCUUCAGGCGACUUAAAGGGAGACCAGAUGUGCAGCAGCUGGGUGUCAUGGUGCAGAGACCCAACGCUGUACUGAACUACACCAGUGUGGCCUACUCCCAUAAACCCUGAGGAUCCCUGGAUGGCUACACCAGUGUGUCCUACUCCCAUAAACCCUGAGGAUCCCUGGAUGGCUACACCAGCACAUUAAUCCACACCCAACAUCAACACAGUGCACACUCUAUAGAGCUCGUAAGUCCGCCCCUUGCGGCGGGACCUUGUGAGAUCGUAAGAUAUGACUGGGUUUCAAUGGAGAGAAAGUAAUUUUUUCUCCAUUUUAUGUUGCACCACAUUUUGGGGGAAGAAUGUUUGAAUCAAUCUUUGUCAUUUAUUUCUGUACUCCAUAUCUGUAAUCCCAGCUGUUGUAUUUUAACACGGUAGCUGGGAACCCUCUUUAUAGGGAGCGACUAGAGGGACGAGGCUGGAAGCAAACCUGAGCCUGGAUCUUAACCUUCUUUCUAAACCUAAUGCCGCAAUUUAACCGCAAAUAAAGUGAGGCCUAAAGUAACUUGACUCUCUUACCUAAACUUGCUUGCCUAAACUCGCUUGUCUUAACUCACUUGCAUAACACCUAAACUCGCUUGCAUAAAACCUGAACUUGCUUGGCUAAACUCGCGUCGCUUGCCUAAUACCUGAACUUGCUUGCCUAAUACCUGAACUCGCUUGCCUAAACUCGCUUGCCUAAACUCGCUUGCCUAAACUCGCUUGCCUAAACUCGCUUGCCUAAACUCGCUUGCCUAAACUCGCUUGCCUAAACUCGCUUGCCUAAACUCGCUUGCCUAAACUCGCUUGCCUAAACUCGCUUGCCUAAUACCUGAACUCGCUUGCAUAAAACCUCAACUCGCUUAGCUUGACUCGCUUGCCUAAACUCGCUUGCAUAAAACCUAAACUCGCUUGCCUGUACUCGCUUGCCUAAUACCUGAAGUCGCUUGCCUAAAACCUAAACUUGCUUUUCCAAACACGUUACACAAAGUUAACCAUCCAUAAUCUUUAACCCAAACCAGACUUGUCCCUGGGUCGCUCCACUUUAAUUUAGAAGUUUCUUCUUUUACCUUAUCUGUGUUUUGAGUUUCAUUCUUUGAGGGCUUGAAGUGCUUUGGAGGAUAUUUGAACCUUUGUUUGCCGCAUCAAUAAACAUGCUUUAUCUUUACCCAUUUUGGAUUGCAUUUCUAUGUGUAAUCCGGCCAAAUGUUCAGUGUCCUUACAUGUAAUGUCUAUGGUCUGACGAUAAUCUGACCUCUUCAUGAAGCAGAAUGUGUGUGAAUGUUGUCCCGUGAGCGUCCAGGCUCUCUGUGGGCCUGUCAACGUCUCUUUAGCAAAAGGUUGGAGAGUGAAAUUCAUUUUUGUGCCAUUUUCAUGUGUUCCUGAGUAUUUCAGACCUGUGGUGUUUCACAUGAGACCUUAAUGGGAACUUUUCUUUUUCGGCCUGUAUACGUAAUGCCUACAUUAGUAGGGUGAUCACUGUUGAUCCCAAUAUUGAUCAUUAACCACCUUCUUUGGGAUUACAAAUCAUGUAAUUUAUGAGCAUAUUUGCAAAUGCCUCUAAAUAUCAGAUUGUGUAAAAAAAAAACAAAUGAAAUGUAACCUGCUUGAUUUAAAGAAAAUAAAACAUCCAAAUAUUAUAAACCUGUUUUGUGUUGCUCUCUUACCAUGUGGAAAUUAGCAGAUGGAUAUGUUUAGCUCUGAUUUGCUGCCUCCUUUUGGUGUGGUGCUGGGAUUUGUUUAAUAUACUAUUAUUUCCAGGAUAAGUUAAUAACCUAGUAUAGCCUACCCGGAA